AUAACCCACAUCCAUAGAGCGCGG
rnacentral:misc_RNA from 1 species